UUCUCGGAGUUUCCUCGGAAUUUUGUUUCCUCGGAAUUCCGUCGGAAAUUUCCGACGGAAUUCCGAGGAAGUAUGAAUUUCCGAGAAGAUAUUUCCGAGGACUUUUUUCGUCGGUAUGUCGUCGGAAUAGCGUUAUUCCGACGACAUACCGACGAUUUUUUCCCUCAGUAUCCCGAUGUUUUCUUGUAGUGCACAUUCUCUUAACUGAAAUUCUUACCUUCAGAUAAGAGACGAUUCUUAAAUUUUCUUAGAUUUUAACUAAAAAAAAUAAGAACUAUCUUUUAAAUAAGAGAUAUAAAUAUAUAAUAGCUGUUUCUUAACCGAAAAAUAUAAAAAGAAAAAACAAAAAAAUAUCAAAUCAUGAAUUAAGAACUCCAUGCCCACUAGUGAAGAAAUCCAUAAUAGGUUCUCAUUGUUUUUUUUAUAUUAUUAUUUGAUGCACUUUUUGUAAAUAACUAAAAAAAAAUUUCAGACUAAACUACACAAAUAAAAAAGUGCCACUUUUUUUGCUAAACUACACAAAUGAAAAAGUGCCAAAGUAAAUAUGUAAAAAUGUCUUAAUCAAUUCUCUACCCAUAUACGGUAUGACCAUCUCACCUCUCACUUUUCUUAUUUUCUAAUAUUAUAACGUUAGAUAUCUGCCUCCAUCCUAUUGAUGGAGGUGCUCUAACCUUUUAUCCUUUAUUAUUGAGUGUGAUACAGUCUCCGCAGCAAUUGGUCUCUGAAGCAAUUUCUCUAUUUCUUUGGAAACGCCAUACAAAUAUCAGAGCAACCUCAAUGGUGGCUAGAACAACUUCGAUGGUGGAUUUCCACCAUUAAAUUCUCAAAAUACAUAUACUAAACAUAUUUGUGUUAGAUAUUUUUGGCUUUCUUGUAAAAUUAAAAUAUCCACAAUUUAAUAAUAUAUAUAUAUAUAUAUAUAUGCUGUUAUGCAGCCAAUCAACUUAUUCUACUAAUUUAUUUAACGUCAAAAUAUUAAUUAAGCUUUUGCGACAUUUGUAAAUUUGAGAUUUAGGGAUGUUGUCAUGUCGAACCUUGAAUGUUUUGCACAAUAGAUUGUCACUUAGUUUUACGUUUUUCUAUCUAUAAUACUUUUAGAUCAAAACCAAGUAAUAAUUGAUUAUGGCUGUUUCACAACUCAUAACAUUUCUCCUUAAUAUGAUUUUUUAAUUUAAUUUAUAUGUUAUUAUUUUGAUUAUUUUAGAUGAGUAACUUCUGUGAAAUAAUGUUUUUUCCAGGAUAAUUACUACUUUGACUUAGCAACAAAGAUAAUAAUUAUAUUUACAGAAAGCAGCCAGCAUUAAUAAUACGAAUUUUUUUAUAUCCUUACUUAUAGUUUUGUGAGAGUAGUCCUUUUAUUUUUGGCUAUGUUUUGUUAAGGAAGAGAAUUACCAAUAAAAAAAAGAAUUUCAAAGGUGAAAAAGAGAACAAAUUCCCUCCAAAUGAUUGGGCCAUAAACCACAGAAGGCUUCUCUCUCAGCCGAAAAACGAGAGGAGCCAAACACAUACACUCCUCAUAAAACCUUCACAAAAUCUCUACUGAUCUCUGAUAUAUUGUUGGUGACUAGAUCGCUUUUGUUGCUUUCUCCGGCGGCUGCAUCGUUCCUCGAUCUAGGUUCUAAUAGAGAUGGCAAAAUUUGAACCUGCCCGCGGGUCCAGCCCGUUUGGACCUGUUGCGGGGCGGGAUUGGUUACUAAGAUCCAGGCCCGAAUUUUUAGCGGGCCUCGCGGGAUGAGCUUGUGCGGGAUCGGACCAGAAGCGGGAUGGGUUCAGUGUAUCCCGCGGGACGUGCGGGGAUCCGCAAAGACUGGUCUCUAUCAUUGAUCAUCGUACGUUCUUUCACCACUCCUUUCAGUACAUCGAGUAUUUGCUUCGGUUAGGUCAUAAACAACUUGAUCAACUCAAAAGUCCUGAUAUGGUAUGUCUAAGCAAUUUGUUUUGUAUUCUUUCUGUUGUAUUUCGUUGGUUUGUGCUGAACGCUGUAGUGAACGAUCAAUACAUAAAUUAUGUUGCUCAAA